AGCCAUUGCUAUCGGAGUCCGAUUUAGCCAUGCUAGUUGUACGAGUUUAGACUCGUAGCAUAUAGCUCAGUAACACGUGGCCAAACUACCCUACAGACCGCAAUAACCUCGGGAAACUGAGGCCAAUAGCGGAUAUAACUCUCAUGCCGGAGUGCCGAGAGUUCGAAACGUUCCGGCGCUGUAGGAUGUGGCUGCGGCCGAUUAGGUAGAUGGUAGGGUAACGGCCCACCAUGCCGAUAAUCGGUACGGGUUGUGAGAGCAAGAACCCGGAGACGGUAUCUGAGACAAGAUACCGGGCCCUACGGGGCGCAGCAGGCGCGAAACCUUUACACUGCACGACAGUGCGAUAGGGGGACUCCGAGUGCGAGGGCAUAUAGCCCUCGCUUUUCUGUACCGUAAGGUGGUACAGGAACAAGGACUGGGCAAGACCGGUGCCAGCCGCCGCGGUAAUACCGGCAGUCCAAGUGAUGGCCGAUAUUAUUGGGCCUAAAGCGUCCGUAGCCGGCCGGACAAGUCCGUUGGGAAAUCGACGCGCUCAACGCGUCGGCGUCCAGCGGAAACUGUCCGGCUUGGGGCCGGAAGACCUGAGGGGUACGUCCGGGGUAGGAGUGAAAUCCUGUAAUCCUGGACGGACCACCAAUGGGGAAACCACCUCAGGAAGACGGACCCGACGGUGAGGGACGAAAGCUAGGGUCUCGAACCGGAUUAGAUACCCGGGUAGUCCUAGCUGUAAACGAUGCUCGCUAGGUGUGCCGUAGGCUACGAGCCUGCGCUGCGCCCUAGGGAAGCCGAGAAGCGAGCCGCCUGGGAAGUACGUCUGCAAGGAUGAAACUUAAAGGAAUUGGCGGGGGAGCACCACAACCGGAGGAGCCUGCGGUUU
rnacentral:rRNA from 1 species